CAAACGACUCUCGGCAACGGAUAUCUCGGCUCACGCAUCGAUGAAGAACGUAGCAAAAUGCGAUACUUGGUGUGAAUUGCAGAAUCCCGUGAACCAUCGAGUUUUUGAACGCAAGUUGCGCCCGAAGCCAUCCGGCCGAGGGCACGUCUGCCUGGGCGUCACAC
rnacentral:rRNA from 1 species